AGUGAACGCUGGCGGUAGGCCUAACACAUGCAAGUCGAACGGCAGCACAGUAAGAGCUUGCUCUUACGGGUGGCGAGUGGCGGACGGGUGAGGAAUACAUCGGAAUCUACUUUUUCGUGGGGGAUAACGUAGGGAAACUUACGCUAAUACCGCAUAUGACCUACGGGUGAAAGCAGGGGAUCUUCGGACCUUGCGCGAUUGUAUGAGCCGAUGUCGGAUUAGCUAGUUGGCGGGGUAAAGGCCCACCAAGGCGACGAUCCGUAGCUGGUCUGAGAGGAUGGUCAGCCACACUGGAACUGAGACACGGUCCAGACUCCUACGGGAGGCAGCAGUGGGGAAUAUUGGACAAUGGGCGCAAGCCUGAUCCAGCCAUACCGCGUGGGUGAAGAAGGCCUUCGGGUUGUAAAGCCCUUUUGUUGGGAAAGAAAAGCAGCAGGUUAAUACCCCGCUGUUCUGACGGUACCCAAAGAAUAAGCACCGGCUAACUUCGUG
rnacentral:rRNA from 1 species